rnacentral:lncRNA from 1 species
CACAUCCUUGGCUGCAUUGCAUCGGAACAGCUCACAGACCUGAAAGGUUAGUUUGUGUUUCUAAGGAGACAGAAAACUUUCACUGUUGACAUUACACCUGGCUGGACUAUUUAACUUGGGAAAGGGACAUCUCCAUUCACUCUUCUGUUUCAUUCCAGCACACACACACACACACACACACAGAGGCUGUCUGAGCACAUUACUGCAAUGGGUUGCAACGCUAGCAAAAGCACAACCGCUGUUGAACCUUCUCAGAAGCCGGGAGACCCUGAGAAGAAAGAUGACGAAAAGCAUGAAAAUGAGAGCGAAGCAGCAAUGGAAAGUGCUCAACAUUCGGCGGAAAAAGAAAAUUCAGAUAAUAAGAAGAGCUGAAACUUUACAUUACGCUCGAAAAAAGUCAAGAAAAUCAAGUUUAUUUAUUCUCUUUGAUCUGCUGAAAAACUGCGAUUUCACCACUUUAGAAUUUACCCAAUGGAAAACAAGAAAUUUCAUUAUAAUUUGUGAAGCUGCAAAGGACAGAGGCUGAAACAUCUUGAUGGCACGCAUCACUUACAACAACAAUUCUUCUUCAGGAUCAAACUGCUGGGGUGGACUGUCUUCCAUGGUAGAACUGUCCGAGGACCAACAUGGAAGCAGAAACAUCUAAUGAACAUUAUCUACCAAGUGCAAAUAUACUUAAUGCAUGAUCAGCACUGAUCUUCUACAACAUGGUCAUCAUAGUCUUCUAGAUACGUCAUCAGACAUUGGAUAGAUGCAAAACUUUGUUAUUAUAAAAGACUAUCCUCUGGACUUAAGUGCAAUGAAUAUACAUGAGCACGUUAAGUAUAUCAAGGGAAAAUGAGUAUGUAAGAAAAUACGCUGUCUGCAUCCGUGAUAUGGUUCAUUUAACAAAUAGAUCAUGUAGAGGGAUACUGUUGUUUGUGGGGUGGAAAUUAAUUUAGACUUUUAUUGCUUUAUACAAAUAUUACCUUUUGGAUAACCAAUUUCAGAAAAAGCAAAAAAAUUAGCCAAGCUACAUUUAAAAUAAUCUGUCUUUUAUCUUUAAGCUUUUUUUACAUUUAUAAAUGCAUGCUGGGGAGGGGGGAGGUGGGGAGGUGUUUAUCAAAGUGUUCUGUUCUAAAAAGUGACAAUGAGAAUGUAAAAGGGGAGGAGUCACCAUGGAGUUUGCAUGCUGAUUCUACAGGUUUCCAUGGUGAUUGCCCUGCUUUUAGCACAUAAGACUACUUUUUGGAAUAGAACACUUUGAUAAAUAUACCCCAUUAAAGAUUAAAUUAUUUGUCAAAACCAGUGAUAUUGGAAAUAGAACAGUAGUAUUCCAAAGCUUUAUUAUGUUAUUAUAGACUCGUUAUUCUAAACAGUUGCACAGUUUGUCUUCAGUAGGCUGAUUAAUAUAAAUUGCAAGCUCAGAGAACAAGUUUAGAUUCUCACAAAUGUCAACUUUAAAAUAUUAUUUCUUAAACCAAAAUGCAUCAUUAUUUUCCAUGGUUUACCGAAAACAUGAUAAUUCUAUAUGGGUGAAAUACUCAGUUUUUCUCUUUUUCGUUUAUUGUGUGUCUAGCAUGGAUUAUUGAUUUACCAAAAAAUGCACCCAAUUCAUUACAUCAUUAAUGUCCGUUAUACAUUUUUUGUUUAUUUUUGUGCAAAUAUUAGUCUUAGCAGAAAUAAGAAAUAUUUUACAAUCUGAGUUAUAAAAGCUAUAGAACUAAGCGAAACCUGCAAUUAAAUAGGGGUAGAAACACACGCACACAUUUUUUUUAGCAUUUUAAUGUUAAUUUUAAUGUUUUUUUUUUUAUAAAUCUCAGGAAUUAUGCAUCAAGCAGGGGGAACUCACUGCAAUACAUACCUGGGUGCUAUUGCUAUAUUAAUUGUGAGAGCACUGAAAUGUUCUCUGCUAAUGUUUUAUUAAAGAAUGUGAAACUUUAAAAAAAAAACUUUUUUAUUUACUUUUUUUUUACAUUCAAAGUUUUGAAUCCUGUGAACCACACUAUUUGAUAUGGUUUAUCUACCAGAGCGGAACAAAGUAAAACUGUGUGAAACUAAAUAUGCAUACUGUGAUUCUUUAUAGUUACAAACAUAUGAUCCAGGCUUCCCCAAACUCGGCCCUCCAGAUGUUGCUGAACUACAACUCCCAUGAUUCUAGGAAUGAAAAAGAUAGGUUGAGAAUCAUGGGAGUUGUAGUUCAGCAACAUCUGGAGGGCCAGAGUUUGGGGAAGCCUGAGUAUGAUCAAUUGUUGCCAUUGAGCAAUACCAACUGGAGCAAAAAACACUAAGUAAGUGAUUGUAAAUAUAUACAAAAUAAUAAUGUCCAAGUACAGAUCCCUGAGGUACCCCACUGGUGACAAGCCCAAGCUUCGAAUAUACUCCAUUGACUACAACCCUCUGUUGCCUGUCACUCAGGCACUGCAUU